GAUGAACGCUGGCGGCGUGCCUAAUACAUGCAAGUCGAGCGAACGGACGAGAAGCUUGCUUCUCUGAUGUUAGCGGCGGACGGGUGAGUAACACGUGGAUAACCUACCUAUAAGACUGGGAUAACUUCGGGAAACCGGAGCUAAUACCGGAUAAUAUUUUGAACCGCAUGGUUCAAAAGUGAAAGACGGUCUUGCUGUCACUUAUAGAUGGAUCCGCGCCGCAUUAGCUAGUUGGUAAGGUAACGGCUUACCAAGGCAACGAUGCGUAGCCGACCUGAGAGGGUGAUCGGCCACACUGGAACUGAGACACGGUCCAGACUCCUACGGGAGGCAGCAGUAGGGAAUCUUCCGCAAUGGGCGAAAGCCUGACGGAGCAACGCCGCGUGAGUGAUGAAGGUCUUCGGAUCGUAAAACUCUGUUAUUAGGGAAGAACAAAUGUGUAAGUAACUAUGCACGUCUUGACGGUACCUAAUCAGAAAGCCACGGCUAACUACGUGCCAGCAGCCGCGGUAAUACGUAGGUGGCAAGCGUUAUCCGGAAUUAUUGGGCGUAAAGCGCGCGUAGGCGGUUUUUUAAGUCUGAUGUGAAAGCCCACGGCUCAACCGUGGAGGGUCAUUGGAAACUGGAAAACUUGAGUGCAGAAGAGGAAAGUGGAAUUCCAUGUGUAGCGGUGAAAUGCGCAGAGAUAUGGAGGAACACCAGUGGCGAAGGCGACUUUCUGGUCUGUAACUGACGCUGAUGUGCGAAAGCGUGGGGAUCAAACAGGAUUAGAUACCCUGGUAGUCCACGCCGUAAACGAUGAGUGCUAAGUGUUAGGGGGUUUCCGCCCCUUAGUGCUGCAGCUAACGCAUUAAGCACUCCGCCUGGGGAGUACGACCGCAAGGUUGAAACUCAAAGGAAUUGACGGGGACCCGCACAAGCGGUGGAGCAUGUGGUUUAAUUCGAAGCAACGCGAAGAACCUUACCAAAUCUUGACAUCCUCUGACCCCUCUAGAGAUAGAGUUUUCCCCUUCGGGGGACAGAGUGACAGGUGGUGCAUGGUUGUCGUCAGCUCGUGUCGUGAGACGUUGGGUUAAGUCCCGCAACGAGCGCAACCCUUAAGCUUAGUUGCCAUCAUUAAGUUGGGCACUCUAAGUUGACUGCCGGUGACAAACCGGAGGAAGGUGGGGAUGACGUCAAAUCAUCAUGCCCCUUAUGAUUUGGGCUACACACGUGCUACAAUGGACAAUACAAAGGGCAGCGAAACCGCGAGGUCAAGCAAAUCCCAUAAAGUUGUUCUCAGUUCGGAUUGUAGUCUGCAACUCGACUACAUGAAGCUGGAAUCGCUAGUAAUCGUAGAUCAGCAUGCUACGGUGAAUACGUUCCCGGGUCU
rnacentral:rRNA from 1 species